AACGAACGCUGGCGGCAUGCCUAACACAUGCAAGUCGAACGAGACCUUCGGGUCUAGUGGCGCACGGGUGCGUAACGCGUGGGAACCUGCCCUUAGGUUCGGAAUAACUCCCCGAAAGGGGUGCUAAUACCGGAUAAUGUCUUCGGACCAAAGAUUUAUCGCCUUUGGAUGGGCCCGCGUUGGAUUAGCUAGUUGGUAGGGUAAAAGCCUACCAAGGCGACGAUCCAUAGCUGGUCUGAGAGGAUGAUCAGCCACACUGGGACUGAGACACGGCCCAGACUCCUCCGGGAGGCAGCAGUGGGGAAUCUUGGACAAUGGGCGAAAGCCUGAUCCAGCAAUGCCGCGUGAGUGAUGAAGGCCUUCGGGUUGUAAAGCUCUUUUACCCGGGAUGCUAAUGACAGUACCGGGAGAAUAAGCUCCGGCUAACUCCGUGC
rnacentral:rRNA from 1 species